CCUACGGGGGGCUGCAGUGAGGAAUAUUGGUCAAUGGUCGGGAGACUGAACCAGCCAAGCCGCGUGAGGGAUGAAGGUACAGAGUAUCGUAAACCUCUUUUGUCAGGGAACAAAGGCGGGGACGCGUCCCCGGAUGAGUGUACCUGAAGAAAAAGCAUCGGCUAACUCCGUGCCAGCAGCCGCGGUAAUACGGAGGAUGCGAGCGUUAUCCGGAUUUAUUGGGUUUAAAGGGUGCGCAGGCGGUUUGUUAAGUCAGCGGUCAAAGCCCGGGGCACACCCCCGGCCCGCCGUUGAAACUGGCAGUCUCGAGUUGGAGAGAGGUAUGCGGAAUGCGCGGUGUAGCGGUGAAAUGCAUAGAUAUCACGAAGAACUCCGAUUGCGAAGGCAGCAUACCGGCGCCCAACUGACGCUCAUGCACGAAAGCGUGGGUAUCGAACAGGAUUAGAUACCCUUGUAGUA
rnacentral:rRNA from 1 species